ensembl:lncRNA
AUGUGUGCGGUUUCCAAGGCAACCACUUGUCCUGACCUCCCCAUCCCAAUCCUCCUCAGAAGUGUGGUGCUGCUUUCACGUGUGUCUUCAGAUGUGAAAGAGAAAGACGACAGGUCUCCACAGAAGGAUGUCGAGGGUCCCUUGGUUCUUCAGUUCCAGCUCCAGUUAAAGUGGGGGGAAAGAAGAGGCCUCCGGUUGAGAGACAAACGGUUCAUUCUGAAGUACGUAGAUCCAUGAAGAUGAACAUGAUAGCCAUGAGCAGCCAUUUAAACAUGUCCACUGUAGUAUAAAAUGAAUUCAGACAAGAUUCUAUGAAUAACCGACACAUGAUAAGCUUCAGCUCCGGCAUUAGUGGAACUGAUUUGUUUUAGAAAAGAGACUGGUCUAUGCCUCUACAAAUUGGUAGCAUAUUUAGCACAGUAGAGAAAUACUCAUUAGUCACUUGAUUGCACUAUUAAAGGGCACAAAAUUUUUGUGCUAAUUUUGUUUUUGAGAGGAGCAGAUCAGAAGAUUUAAUAAAGAAUAUAUAAAAACAACCA